rnacentral:rRNA from 1 species
AAAAAAAAAAACGUGAGUAACCUGCCCCCUUCUUUGGGAUAACGCCCGGAAACGGGUUCUAAUACUGGCUAUUCCCUGGUCUUCGCAUGGGGGUUGGUGGAAAGGGUUUUUCUGGUUGGGGAUGGGCUCGCGGCCUAUCUGCUUGUUUGUGGGGUGAUGGCCUACCAAGGCUUUGCCGGGUAGCCGGCCUGAGAGUGCGACCGGUCACAUGGGGACUGAGAUACGGCCCAGACUCAUACGGGAGGCAGCAGUGGGGAAUAUGGCACAAUGGGCGCAAGACUGAUGAAGCGACGACGCGUGAGGGAUGUUGUUUUUUUAAUGGUGAGGCGC